GACGAACGCUGGCGGCGUGCCUAAUACAUGCAAGUCGAGCGCAGGAAAUCGACGGAACCCUUCGGGGGGAAGUCGACGGAAUGAGCGGCGGACGGGUGAGUAACACGUAAAGAACCUGCCCUCAGGUCUGGGAUAACCACGAGAAAUCGGGGCUAAUACCGGAUGGGUCAUCGGACCGCAUGGUCCGAGGAUGAAAGGCGCUUCGGCGUCGCCUGGGGAUGGCUUUGCGGUGCAUUAGCUAGUUGGUGGGGUAAUGGCCCACCAAGGCGACGCUGGAUAGCCGACCUGAGCGGGUGAUCGGCCACACGGGGACUGAGACACGGCCCAGACUCCUACGGGAGGCAGCAGUAGGGAAUCUUCCACAAUGGACGAAAGUCUGAUGGGGCAACGCCGCGUGAACGAUGAAGGCCUUCGGGUCGUAAAGUUCUGUUGUAAGGGAAGAACAAGUGCCGCAGGCAAUGGCGGCACCUUGACGGUACCUUGCGAGAAAGCCACGGCUAACUACGUGCCAGCAGCCGCAGUAA
rnacentral:rRNA from 1 species